GCACGUGUACCGACUCCAUCCAUCUACGACAGAAGCGGACGUAAUCGGCUAUUUGAAACCGAUGUUCAAAGAAGUGCUGUGUGAGACCUUACCAUCAAAACAUCCUCUACAGUAUUCGUCUUUUAAGGUUUCUUUGUAUAGUUAUAAUUUUUCUAAGGCUAUGGACUCUACCAUAUGGCCGAAAGGGGCAUGCAUUGAUAAGUUUUUUCAGUGGAAGAAGAAGAAUCAGCCUACUCAGAAGUAAUUUUUGCUCCAGAAGUCAUGUUAUUAAAUGUUCAAAGUCUGAAUCCUAACAAGAGCCGACUUUUGGAGGUUGAACUUUCUAAAUGCAGGAGUGUAAAAAUUCUUUGUCUGACGGAAACAUGGUCAAAUUCGGCCUCGAUAAACAGUAAUAGUAUCGAUGAAUUUAAAUUGAUCGCAAUGAAGUUCAAUUAGAAAGAGAGGUUAAUAUUUUAAUGACGAAUCUCCAAUCCUGGUUUUCCACCAACAACAUUUAUAUAAACUCUGAAAAAACACAAGUUAUAAGAUUUCGUAAUCGCCAAAACACCUGUCUUAUGGUAGAUACAAACCUCAACUUUAAGUCACAUGCCAAAAUACUGGUUCCAAAAUUAAACUCACUGUGUUAUCUUCUAAGAAAUUUAAAGAUAAUUUUAAAUAUUGAUCAAUUGGUUAAUAUAUACCAUGCUCAUGUGGAAUCCAGAAUUAGGUAUGGUAUUUGUUUAUGGGGUGGGUCACCAAGCGCAGCCAAUGUGUUUAUUAGUCAAAAACGUGCCAUCAGAACAAUUGCCGGUGCA